rnacentral:rRNA from 1 species
GAUGAACGCUGGCGGCGUGCCUAAUACAUGCAAGUCGAGCGAACAGACGAGGAGCUUGCUCCUCUGACGUUAGCGGCGGACGGGUGAGUAACACGUGGAUAACCUACCUAUAAGACUGGGAUAACUUCGGGAAACCGGAGCUAAUACCGGAUAAUAUAUUGAACCGCAUGGUUCAAUAGUGAAAGACGGUUUUGCUGUCACUUAUAGAUGGAUCCGCGCCGCAUUAGCUAGUUGGUAAGGUAACGGCUUACCAAGGCGACGAUGCGUAGCCGACCUGAGAGGGUGAUCGGCCACACUGGAACUGAGCCACGGUCCAGGCUCCUACGGGAGGCAGCAGUAGGGAAUCUUCCGCAAUGGUCGAAAGCCUGACGGAGCAACGCCGCGUGAGUGAUGAAGGUCUUCGGAUCGUAAAACUCUGUUAUUGGGGAAGAACAAAUGUGUAAGUAACUAUGCACGUCUUGACGGUACCUAAUCAGAAAGCCCCGGCUAACUACGUG